GUGAAAUAUAUUAUUUGAGUACUCGUUAUAGCAUUAAAUCUCAAUGCAGGUUAUAUUAGAAUUUUAACUAUGAAAUACAUUAAUCUGGUCUCUUUACAUUAAUAAAAAUUUAAAAUCAAAACUAUAAAGCAAUGCUUGCAAAGCAGCCAAUUGAAACUCUUCCAGAUUUAAGCCCCCGCUUUGACUCCUGAGCGGACUCUCCAAGCAGACUCCUGAUUUCCAGUAGACGGCGCGACACUGGAUGCGCUGUGGUGGGACGGUGAGAGCAAACGUGAUCACACUUGUUCAGCUCCUUCACGGUUUCCCUUUAUCAUUGAAGGAGAGUACACUGCAGCACUGCAGGGGCUGGGGGUGUCCACCGGGCUGUUACAGGUGUGGAGAUAAGCGCUGCAAACAUCAGUGAAAGCUGCGGGAGAUGUGUGCUGUAGUCAGCCCUAGGUGACUGGUAUAUUUGGACAAGCGGACCAGAUGGCUCGGGUUUCAAGGGGUCAGAGAAAUGUCUUUGGAGAGUGGAAAUCCAAAGGUCGUUAAGAAAAGCCUCCUGGAGUGUUGAAGAGCCAUAUAAACCUUUGAACAACAGCAAGUAAUUUGAAAUUGCAUCUGAUUGAAACAUCAGGUUUUUACUGAAAAAAAAUUGCAAGCUUUGACUCUGUUACUAGUCUAUUUCAUAUUCCAACUGGCCAAGGCUUUGGCCCUAAAGCCAUGAGAAGAGAAAGCGUUUCUUUCAUUUUGGCACCAAACCCUUGGGUCACAGUCUGAGAAGUGACUUAGUCAGUCGUGACUUGCCCAAACAAUUCAGACUGGGCUGACUCACGGAUGGCCUGUUUUAUUAAGCAUGGUUAUGUAGCUAACCCAAAGGGAAUACUUCCUGGGUGAUGUCAGAGUCUCAUAAGCUGCUGUCAUGGGCCUUGCGUACCGGAAGGUUGGGACGGUAACUGUGCACAGUGGAGAGGACACCCACACGCUCCAGGCAGGUGGGGGCAGCAGGUGCUGCACUCCCAGAGAAGCUUUAGCAGGGAAGUGGAGGGAGUUGAAACAGUAGCUAAUGCUUCACCAGAGACAUCCCACUGAAAGAGGGUCUUGUAACUCCCCUAACUGUUUGUACUCAUGUCCUGCUGUCCAACACAGGCCUGGGGCAGCCUUGAGGCCGCUCGUGGCUUAACACUUAGUAAAGAAUGGACAAGGAGGGCAUCGAUCAGAACAGUGCCAACAAUGUGUGCAGCCGAGGAUGGUUGAACCACGUCCCACGCCGGGGUCUGAGGCCAUUUAUACAUAGUUUUUAUAUGGGUAGUGAAGUUAAAAUGACGUGAUAAUAUCCGAUUAUAACAAAGUAGCAGGGGCUGGUGCUGCGGUGUAGCUGGUGAAGCCGCCACUGUGUCACUCGUGUCCCCUUAUGGGUGCCCAUUUGGUUUGAAUCCAGCUGCUCCACUUCUGAUCCAGCUCCCUGCUAAUGCGCAUGGGAAAGCAGUGGAAGAAGGCCCAUGUGCUUGUGCCCCCUGACCCAUGUGGGAGACCCAGAAGCUCCUGGCUCCUGGCUUUGGCCUGGCCCAGCUCCAGCUGUUGUGGUCAUUUUGGGAGUAAACCAGCAGAUGGAAGAUUCUUUGUCUCUGUCUCUUCCUCUCUCUCUAACUCUGCCUUUUUAUUGGAAGUGGAGCGUCUGGGACUUGAACUGAUGCUAAUAUGGGAUGCUGGCCCUGUAAAUCUUUUUUCUUUCAUUCAUUCAUUUUUUUUUUUUUUGAAAACAAAUUGUGACCUUAAAUACAGGAUUAAAGUCAAUGAUCUCUAAACAUUUUUGGUUGUGUAAGGAAUAACUCCAUCACCAUCUUAGAUCUUCUAAAAGUACCCGUAAUGUAUAGAAUUUUUGAAUUUAUAAACUAUACAUGUAUAGUGUGCAAACUGAAUUAAAAUUCUAAUGUUGUCUUUCUAUGCCUCAGUGGAUCAACUUGUACAUAUUUUGGACUGCAUGCUUCCUUCGCCUGCUACCAAACCCCUAAAACUUUAUUUAUUGAUUAAAAAUGCUAUGAAAUUAAGGAAAGACAUUUUUAGAUAUUCUCGUCAUUCUAAUCACAGGAAAGGACAUCAACUAUAAUUUUCUUCAUUCAAUCUUUGCAAUCUUCCGCAUAGAGCACGAGUAUUGCAUUCUCCCCAGGAAGUUUCUGGAUAUAAAAGGCUGCAUUUAAGCAUGGUGGCAGCCUGCCUCCUUAGAGCAGUGGGCAGUCUGAAGAAGGAUGGCCAGGGGUCGCCUGCGUCUAACCAACGUGCUCUUGACUUUCCUGAUUGUCUCUGACCCUCACUGGCGCUCAGGCUGACGGAGACCCCUCUGCCCAGAUCUCCUGCACCUUUCUGGAAGGCUGAUGUGAACAGAAUUUAUUUCUGGCCUGUACUUGACACUUGCUGUCCCCGUUCAUCCUCAUUAUCUUCUGAGUCAUCUCACCUGAAGGUCUGGGAGACCUGCUUCAUUUCGGGAACUGCACACAAUUGCACAUAGGUAAAUAAUGCUUUUAUUCUCCUCUGAUCUCAUAAAAGUAGAAUUGUGACUCAGUUACAUUCUCCAGAGAACCAAAGUUAUACUCACACGUGUCCAAGCAAGGAGUCAGUGGGAUAAACAGUGUGGGGUUGCUAAGCAACGCAGUACACAUUUCAUUAGUUGCACCCAAGGCACUGUUUGCUCUUAGCGCGUCUGAUAAAUGGGGGGUGUCAGAUUGAAAUCCCUGGGAGUUGGGGACAGUGAGGUCCACCAGGGGCAUAUGUGGGAUCUUUCGGUUUCAACCUCUUACUCCCCUUUCUCCUUUCAAAUCCCUUUGGAUCUGUUUCACACUUGUGGGUUAGGAGAGCAGUAAUUAAAAGUGAGAAGGGGAGAGGGGCCUGAGGCUGUUGAGCUGCUGAGCUCUGAGCGUGUCAGUCAACUGAGACAGGGACAUAUUUGAGUUUUACUUGUGUGUGUGCCCGCAAAUAAUUCAGCUCUAUCAACACCUGCAGCUGAGUUCUCUUGCUUCUUUGGAUUCUGGCUUAAAUAGCACUUUUUGUCAAAAGCCACCCAAGACUGGAUUCUUUCUCGCCCACCCCCUAGCAGCUCAAGUCUUAUUCAAUCAGAUUAUGCUUGCUGGGAUUUUGGGUUGUGAGCGGCUGACACAAAGAUCAGAGGUGGCUGGAAUUCAAUUCCUGUUUGCAGAGGCAGGGGCUGUUGCCUCUCCGAAGGCUUGUUCUUUCUACUUGGUGUCUGGAGUCUUUUAGGGGGGUUCCUUCCUAUUUUCUGAGCUUCUUCCUCCAGCCUUUCUUGUGCCUGAGUCCCUGUGGGCUUUCUCCACCCCAACAAUACUCUUUCAGGUACUCCUUUUUGUCCAAAUUAGAACUAGGUCCUGGGCUUCACCCAAGAAUCAUGAAUGAACCAUUCCAGCCAGGUCUAGUACUGUUAGCUUAUUCCUGUGUCGCUCUGGUGGCUGCUUUACUAGUCUGUCCCUAGUAGACUGAACCCCUGGAGCUCAGCAGCAAUUUUCCUGGCCUCUCAUUUAGCCCCAAAGCUAUGCUUCUGGUGGGCACACAGUGAUGCUCACUGAGUCAGUCCAUCAACAAAUUGAAGGUGCAAUUAUUAUUGAGUAUUUUUUUUUUCAGAACAAGUUCUGAAAUUUAAAAAUUAGGGACAAAUCUUAUGGGCAUGCUGCUAGCAACACCAUCUCUGCUUCAUAGAGUCAGUCUGCUUUUGAACUUCUAAUGACUCUGGUUUGCUGGAGGACGAAGUCAGCAGUCAUGAAGCCCAAGGACCACUAUCCACCUCUGAGGGCAGCUCCGCUGUUUUUUUUUCUCAUUUUAGCCCAAGCACUGCUUAGAUUCCCUGACGUGGGACUCGAGGCAGCUGCCACCUGUUCAGUGAGGAUGACCUACAAGAUAAAAAUUUUUAUCUCAUCGCGGUCAGAAGAUCCUCUUUAUUCUGUCAACAAGAAUCACUGGGCAAGUGUUCCGUAUGUGUUGCGAUGGGACAUGGAUUUGUCUGGAUGAAGUCUCCAUUGUUACAAAGAUGCAUAGAUGGGGAGAAUAUAGUUUGAACAUCGACUGACGCCAAAGCAGGGAAGUGGUUUGCUCCCAUCUUGAUUUCAGAUGAGUGCAGGUGGGAAUGCACAGGUUCCUGCUGAUGUGCACCCUGGGAAGCAGCAGGUGAUGGCUGAACUACUUGGGUUCCUGCCACCCACAUGGGAGACACGGAUUGAUUUCUGGACUCUUGACUUUCGCCCAGCCCUUACUUUUGUGGGCAUUUGGGAAAUACACCAGUGGAUGGAAGAUUUUGACCUCUUUCUCUCUGUUUGUCUGUGCCUUGAAAAUAAAUUAAAAAAUAAAUUAAGUUGGAGGAGGUGGGAAAGGAGUGUGAAAGUAAAAGGAUGCUGAAAGUGAAGGUGGAAAGACCGUGAUGUGAUCUGUAAUUGAAGGGAGGUCUGAGGACUUGAGCCAGACUGAAAGAGAGGCAGCAGGAACCUGGAGGGACACGGGACUGGAAAGAGGGGCGUCAUGGGGACUCAGGGAACUUUGAAACUGUUGUGGUCUUCAUCCUGACGGCAAAGGGAGCCAGCAAACAGCUCAGAGCCAGGGAAGGCCAAGAUGGAAUUUAUGUUUCAAAACAACUCUGUGGUCUGGGAAAUCAGAGAGACUCAUCAGGAGCAUUUGCUAAGACUCAGAGGGGAGAGGGAAGAGGUUUGGAGUAGGGACAUUAAGGGAAAAUAGAGGUGCAAAAAGUCAAGACCUAUUAUUUUUUAAAAAAUGUAUUUAUUUAAAAUGUAGCAUGAGAGGGGAGAGAGAGAUUGAGAUUGAUAUUGAGAUUGAAAAUGCAUAGAAGCACUUUUAUUUGUUGGUUCACUCCCCAAAUGACUGACAUAGUCAGGCCUGGUCAAACCUAUGUAGGUGGCAAGAACUGAAAUAGCUGGGCCAUCAUCCGCUGCUUCCCAGGCACAUUAGCAGGGAGCUGGAUCAGAAGCAGAGAUGUGAUCCAGGGAUUUGAACCAGCACUCUGAUACGGGAUGGCAGUGUCACAGGUGGUGACUGAACCCACUGUGGCACAAUGCUGACCCCAAGAUCUAUUUUUUGAUAUGAGUGUGUAUUUGGCCCAAGUGCUUGGGCCCUGCACCCCAUGGGAGACCAGGAUAAGCACCUGGCUCCUGCCAUCAGAUCAGCGCGGUGCACUGGCCACAGCGCGCUGGCCGCGGCGGCCAUUGGAGGGUGAACCAACGGCAAAAGGAAGACCUUUCUCUCUGUCUUUCUCUAUCUCACUGUCCACUCUGCCUGUCAAAAAAAUUAAAAAAAAUAUUUUAAAUAAAAACAUACUUUUAUUUGACUAUUUGGGAGGCAGAGAGAGAUGGAGAUAGAAAGAUAGUACGAGCUCCCAUCCACUGGUCACUCUGCAAACAUCCUUGAUGACCACGGCUGAAUGUGGCCUGAAGCCACAUCUAAUUACUUGAGCCAUUAUCACUGUCUCCAGGUUUGCACAAGCAGGAAGCCAGAGUUAGGAGCCAGAGCUGGGUAUUGAACCCAAGCACUCUGACAUGGGACACGGUUGUCUUAAUUGCUUGGUGAAGCACCUGCCCCUCAAGGUGCCAUCCAGAGGACUUUGUUAUUCAUCAAAUGUGAGGAAGAAGGAGAGGGGAGAGUCAAGCUUGCUUUCUGAUUUGCUCUUUGUGGCUGAAUAGAAGUAUAGCCAUUGAGGGAGGGAAUUCAAGUGCCGACCUCAGUCUUAAAAGUUCCCUUCUGACAGUAGGAGCCCUUGGAUUCAGCCCAGGGAUCUCUCCAUCUGAGGGUUCUCCCUUACCAUCCCCCUUCCUGCCACCUCUUUAUCUCCUAUAUGAUUUUAUUCUGUUGUACAAUAAUUACCUCCAAGAACAACACCAACCAAGCUAUCCCAGAGCCUGGAAAGACUCAUGGAAUGAAUUAUGAUACUCAACUCACAAAGUUUAUGAAAUAUAUCUAAUAAAUGUAAUAACAUGGAAAGAAACACAGGGAAACAGACGGGGCUGGCUGCACACUCAGGAUAGGGUACAAGGACUGCCCGCCCUGCUGGAACCCUGCGUUGUGCACUGUUUCUGUACCUUUCAGCCACAUUAGUAUUCCUACUGCUGAUGUGGCUACAAUGACCAAGUUGGAGUUUGAGUAGCAAUCGGAGAAAAGCACUUGGUGCCAAUAUACACCCUUGUUUUAUCAGCAAGGCACAGGGACAGUUACACCUGACCACGGCGGGAGUGUACCGUCUCACCAACCAGUCAGCUAAGGAUUUGAUGUGUGUUUCCUAUUGAAAGAAUAACUGGGACCAGGUUGGAUGCAUUAUGGGUACCACCAAGGAGUGGUCAGUUUUGGGGUUCUAUAGCUGCCAGCUCAAUGAUAGCAUAAUCAAGCCUUAAGACUUGGUUUUUCCAACGUUUUAAAACCUGCAAGUGAGACUAUUGCUUGCUCCACCACGCAUCCCACUUAUCCUGUUUUUACAGCUCUGACAGGCUACUGACUUACUCUUUAUAGUGAACAUAUCUUAAGAAUCUUCCUAAUUUUCACAAGCUGUUCAUGACUCAUCAUCUGUGACUCUGAGUACAUCUCAUACAGUUCUCUUACAUUUGAGGGUUUCAGCAACCCUACUUGUUUCUCUUGCUGCUUCUUGCAGAAUUGAGUGUUCCUAGUAAUAAAGAGACAUUUAUUAUGUACUCUAUGAAGAACAAUAUUUUGAAUUUUAUAGAACAGCAAAGUCUAUUGUCUCACACAUUCAAAAAUAAAGAGCAGAUAUGUAAUAUGUUUAUAUUUUAUACUGAUGUCCUACUUUGUUAAAACUGUGUAAAAAUCCAUAUUAAAAAUGGUAUGUUAGGUGAUACUUAUUAUGCACUUUAUAAAAUGCUGCUCCCUUUACAGAUGCUUAUCCAUACUAGGUUCUUCCUGUGUAUUUAAAGCAUAAUCAGUUUAUAGUAGUUAUCAUUAUGCAUACGAUCUCAGGUAAUUCUUUUCUCUUUUAAGAUAUAUUAUUUGAGAGGCAGAAUUACAGAUAGAGAGACAGAGAGGGAAGUCUUCCAUCCAUUGGUUCACUCCCCAAAUGACUGCAAAGGCCAGAGCUGGGCCAAUCUGAAGCCAGGAGCCAAGAGCUUCUUCCAGGUCUACAUGUGAGUGCAGGGGCCCAAGUACUUGGACCAUCCUCCACUGUUUUCCCAGGCCAUUAGAAGGGAGCUGGAUUGGAAGUGGAGCAGCUAGGACUCAAACUGGUGCCCAUAUGGGAUGCCGGCACUGCAGGCAGAGGCUUAGCCUACUACGACACAGCAUUGGCCCCUCAGGUAAUUCUUAUAUAAAGUGAGGUAUAAGUAGAUUAUGUCGGGCACUGUUUAUUAUCUCUCCUUCUCAGUGUUCUUUUACCUUGUCCUGCCCUUUGGCUAGUACUUUAACAAGGCAGGACCUGUUACUACUCAAAACAUAAAGCUGACAAGGGGAUUGUGUUUGUUAGGAAAACAAUUUGGCUGUCAUUGCUAAGACCGGAAUAAUAGCUUACCCAGAGUAGAAGUUUCUUGCUGUGGUAGCGGGUAACAGCUUCCCAGAAGCAGCUAUGUCCCAGUCCCCAGAACCUGUGAACACGUUCCCUUACGAAACACAAAGGACUUGGCAGGUGGUUUUCAGGGUAUAGACCUUGAGAUGGGAAAAUUACCUGGCUGUGGCCCGAGAGAGAGGCGUGAAGAUGAGAGAGGAGCUAGGGAGAUGCAAUGUGAAAAAGACUGGACCCGCUGCUGCCGGCUGGGCAGGCGGAGGAAGGAACCCCAAGUGAGGGGCUGGGGAGUGGCCUUGAGGAGCGGGGAGAAGCAAGGAAGCAGACACCCCAAGAGCAUUCGGAAGGAACCAGCUCUUCCGACACCUCAGGACACUCAGCCUUGUGACCAGUAGAACUGUGCAAUAAUAAACUCGCGUUGUCAGCAGCCCCUCCAUUUCUGGUGAUGUGCAGGGACUGGGAAGGUCUGGCCCGUGGGCUGUCUGGAGGCUGAGAUGUGAUUUGGUCUGGCCCUGCCAAGGCAACCGCACGUGGGACUGGAAGUUCAAUAAAUCUAUAGCAGGCUAAUUUCUAAGCUGACGAUUUUGUAUGGCCCACACAUGAUGUUAUAAGUAUCUGGAUGGCCUUUGGGAGAAAAUAAAAACUUCCCCACCCCUAUGCAGAGCCUCACCAGAAAACGGAUAGAGAUUUUGGUAGCUGAAAGUCAGGGGCUGCUGUCGCCAAUAUAAUGUGGCUGAGAAUGUUGAAGUGGCUCUAUGUUGACAGACUCCAAAGCUGCUGGACUGCCUUAAACAGACUGAGGGUAGGACAUGGAGGCUAAAGCCUCUGCUGGCAGGAGCGGGUGUUUAGCCUGGUGCCCUGUUCCAUGUCUGAGUGCCUGGGCUCAAGUUCUGGCUCUGGCUCCUGACUCCAGCUUCCCACUAAUGCAGUCUCUGGGAGCAGUCCCCACAUCCGGAUCCCAGCUUCAGCCCUGGCUACUCGGGGCACAGGGGAGUAAACCAGAGGACGGGAGCUCUGUCUGUCUUUCUCUCUGCUUCUCACUGAAAAAGAAAGGAA